UUAGUGUCAAUGGCUAUCUGUUGCUUUUGUGUAUAUUUGGUAUCUAUGUUUAGAGAAUGGAUUUCUCGGUAUACCGAUAUGCUUUUUAUGUGAAUCCCGUUUAAAGCAAGGCUGCACGAUAAUCAGUUGAUUUUUUUUAAAUGCCCCUCGUACAUUUCAAGUACUGCUGAUGUAAAUAUUCUGUGUUAAUUAUGUGUUUCCAUUUAUCCGAAUGUAAUGUUUUUAUAUGUGAAAAAAGUAAGAAAAUCAGAAAUGUUCAAAUAUUUAUCAAACGUAAUUGGUGUGUAAAAACUGUAAAUAUUUCGAAGUGAAAAUAUUAUUCUAUUUGGAUAUAACUUACGGACGAAAUUGGAUAUAAAAUAUUUGUUCAAACUUCGAAGAUUUUGUUAUUGCAACAUCAAUUGUUGCUAAGAAGAAGGAUGGUGCAAUUGUGAACGUUUCUAGUGCAGCUUCCCUGCAAGGACUUCACGACAUGCCGUGUAUUGUUCGACAAAAGCUGCUGUUGAUAAAUUAACAAAGGUUAUGGCUCAUGAGCUGGGACAACACAAGAUUCGCGUGAACGCUAUUAAUCAAACAGUAGCUCUCACAGAGCUUGGUAGAUGGCAUGCAGCGAUCCUAUGUUAGCAAGGAUUCCAAAAGCCGACCUGUGUUUGCAAGGAUUCCAAUAGACAGGAUUCUAGAGGUAUCAGAAAUUGUGGACUUCUAUCAUGUUUCUAUGAAGUGAUAAAUCAGCAAUGAUUCAUGGUGUUGCACUGCCGAUAGAAGGAGGGAUGCUAACCAGUUAGAGACCAUCACUAGAAUAAUGUAUAUGAAAACCAAAAAAGCAGAAAUAUCUCCAUAAACAUGCCACUGCUAACUUGUUUAUACGUGCCAUAAUUGAACUUGUGACAACAGAAAAAAAAUAUUGAAUUUUGUACACUAUUUAUUCCAACAGAAUUCUGUGUGCUGUGUGAUAGAAGUGCUGGACAAUGGGCUCAUUUCGGGUACAUUUUUGUAGUAAUAUGACAAAUUACCAAUUGUUCAUUGGACACGAGUUUUGUAAUUAUAUUCCUUCUUUUUAUGAAACCAUACUUGAUCUCAAUCAGAUAUGAGGAAGAAUAAGAGUUACCACCUCAUAACUGUCGGAACGGAAGGAACCACGUGAUAAUGUAAGUAAAACACUAUUAAAGUCAGGAAAACAUGUUUGGGCACGUGACUCCUCUCGUUUCCGGCAGUGAUGAGGUAGUAUCUAAAUUGGACAUCAAUUUCAAUGCGUGUUUCGUUCAGACAAUCAGUUCUACCUCAUUGCAUUUCACUUUUGGAAAUUCACUACACAGAGUGACUACAUAUUUCGAUUAAAGCUGAUAAACAUAUAAAACGUGCAAAUGGACUCGCGACCCACAGCAAAUUAUCUUUUUUCCAAUACUUAUAUGAAAAAGGCAUUAAGAGUUCCUAAAUACAGUGUUGUUAUACAUUUUACCUUAAUAAAAAGGGAGAAGCUUUUUUACCCCCAUAAUAUAUAUUUAUUUUAGUUUACAUUCAGUUAUGUUUCAGUUUCUAAUCACUGUUUGCUAUAUUCGGUAGGUCGUAACUAGAGAUUAAAACAUUAUACAAUAACUUGCAUUGUUGAUAUGUUUGCCACUCAGUAUUCAUAAUGUUACAGUUAAUGUUAUAUAGUAAUUCCGCAUCUAAAAUGUUUGUAAGGCUUUUGUAGAUGUAUGAAUAAACCAUUAUUAUCCCUGAA
rnacentral:lncRNA from 1 species